UAUGGCGACCGGCGCACGGUGAGUAACACGUAUCCAACCUGCCGAUGACUCGGGGAUAGCCUUUCGAAAGAAAGAUUAAUACCCGAUGGCAUAGUUCUUCCGCAUGGUAGAACUAUUAAAGAAUUUCGGUCAUCGAUGGGGAUGCGUUCCAUUAGGUUGUUGGCGGGGUAACGGCUCACCAAGCCUUCGAUGGAUAGGGGUUCUGAGAGGAAGGUCCCCCACAUUGGAACUGAGACACGGUCCAA
rnacentral:rRNA from 1 species